UACGUAGGUGGCAAGCGUUGUUCGGAAUUAUUGGGCGUAAAGGGCGCGUAGGCGGUUUGUUAAGUCGGUUGUGAAACCUCCAGGCUCAACCUGGAGACGCCACUCGAUACUGCUAUGGCUAGAGUCCGGUAGGGGACCACGGAAUUCCUGGUGUAGCGGUGAAAUGCGCAGAUAUCAGGAGGAACACCGGUGGCGAAGGCGGUGGUCUGGGCCGGCACUGACGCUGAGGAGCGAAAGCCAGGGGAGCAAACGGG
rnacentral:rRNA from 1 species